CGUGUGGGCAACCUGCCCUGUACUGUGGAAUAAUCAUUGGAAACGAUGACUAAUACCGCAUGUGGUCCUCGGAAGGCAUCUUCUGAGGAAGAAAGGAUUUAUUCGGUACAGGAUGGGCCCGCAUCUGAUUAGCUAGUUGGUGGGAUAACAGCCCACCAAGGCGACGAUCAGUAGCCGACCUGAGAGGGUGAUCGGCCACAUUGGGACUGAGACACGGCCCAA
rnacentral:rRNA from 1 species